GCCAGCUUCCUGCAGUGACGCAGGAUAAUGAUGCCAAAGGAGUAUACAUCAGAUCGUGGAGUGAGUUCCCCUGUCGUCAGGAAUUCAGGAUCCAUAUAAGAGAAGGUUCCUCUUGGGUUUGUUGUUCGGUAAAGGGUUGUGCUGCAGCUGUUUGUCUGUAUCAAAAGUCUACAAAUUCCAAAGUCUCCUAAUUUGCUGGAAUAAUUGGCAUCAAGAAGAAUGUUGUCAGGCUUUAGAUCACCGUGAACCACAGGGUGAGGCUUGUUUGAAUGAAGGAAAAUCAGAGCCGAACACAUCUCCCCAAUAAUUCGGGUGCGGGUCUGCCAUGUGAGUGGUUGCGUAUUGUUCUUGCAUGCUAGGCGAUCUUCGAGGCUUCCAUUUUGAAAGAACUCAUAUACUAGGCCAAAAGCUUCUGGGCAUGUACCAAUCAGUGUGACAAGGUUUGGGUGCCUUACUGUGCUGAGAACAGAAGCCUGCAACAAUACAGCCCAAAAUUAUAAUACAGUGCAAGUCAAACUUCCAUGUAACGGUAACCGUAGUCUACAAAAAAAAAAGAAUGACUACUUGCCUCUUGAUGAAAUUCUGACUGCCCCUGCAUGCUUUGAGGAUGCAGCAGCUUUAUAGCUACUGUUGUGUUGCGGAGAAAACCUUUAUAGACACUCCCGAAACCACCUUCACCAAUCUUAAGUGUUGGAUCGAAGCCUUGUGUUGCUUGCUGCAGCUCAAUAAGAGAGAACUUGGUGUUUUGUGCUUCAGAUGGUGCCAAAACUCCCUGCUGAUUCUUUUCCCUCAAUUCUGCGGCUUCCCUUAUUGCAGCAUCUCUCUCAUGUAGUAUUCUGUCAUAGUCUGCUUGGAGCACUUCGAGUAGGUGUUUGUUUGUUGCUAACUUGUCUUCAUUAUCUUUAACAUAUGACUCGCUCUCACUUAUUCGUUGUUCUAGCGUGAGCUUCUGCUCAUUUGCAUUGUAUAGCGCAGCAUAUGUUUCGUCGUGCUGUCUUCUCAUUCCUUCAAUCUCCUGCAUCUGUCUUGCAUGCGUCUCCUCAAGUGCCUUCUGCUGCCUUAACUCAUGCAUAUAAGAGUUCUCCAGUUCUUUAAUCUGCUAGAGUACCUAGGAUUUUGUUAAUCAACAGACAUGCAAUCUGAAUUCUGGACUGAUACAUAAAAUGACCAAAGCAUACCUUUUGACGAGCUGAAUGCAGUUCUCUUUCAGCAUUUCGCCGUUUGCUAAAUUCUUCAUGCACUUCUUUUUUCAGAAACUCUAUUUCAAUGAGGGUGUCCUUCAGUUUAUCCUGGGCCAUUCAAGUUGACACUUCAGAUGCUAUACGCCAUCUAGGAGUGCCCCCCUCCUCUAUUUCUAUUUCAACAAUAGCACAUAAUACGUACCAGGUCAUGAGAUGCUGAUGAAAUGUGGUCAUACGAGUCGUGAGUUGAAAGAUGCGUGUCUGAUCCAACUUCACUUAUAUCAUCAUUAUCAACGAUUGCUGUUCCAGAGAUACUGGCUUCAUCGUCUGGUGAAUAACUGCAACCAGAGUUAUGCAACCUGCUAGAGUCAACUGAAAAGUCCUCCGAGCUCCUUGGUCUCCUUGUCUUGCCGACGAGAUCAGUUUCUACAAGUUCAAACGGUUGAAGCAGUGUACCACCAGUUCUUUGGGAUGGGGAGCACAAUACAUCUGUUCUUGAUCUUCCCAUAUCGCUCAUAGUACUUACAUUUGAGCUUGAUGCUUCAUUCUCCAAUUUGUGGAUCAUCAUUGAUCUCAUUUGGCUAGAAAUGCUGAAUGCUUGUAGCAGUGCUGUGUUGGUGGCUGCUGGUGAUGGUGACACUGCAGAAACUUCCGCAUUGGCCUCCCUGUUGACAGCUAACUACUCAAGACAUGAUGCUGUUAUGCAUGGAAGACAGGGCCUCACAGCACAAAAUUCAGCUAGGCCAGCAAAUGGAAUGGUAUACUUUUGAGGAACCGACAAAAUGCCAGAAGUUGCUACCCAACUGAGCACACAUACCAGAUAAAGCACUGGUACAAUUCCAGGGCUGUGGACAUGAGCUACGACAAUCAUGGACCUGGAAGCAUCCUUGGCCAAGUUCUGCAGAGUCCAUAUCAAGGUGCUUUUGCCGUGCUUGAGUUCUUGGGGGACGGCAACGAAAAUCUUGUCCACGACAAGCGGGCUCUCCGCUGCCUCGCCUGUGUUGCUCGCAAAUCUGCUCGCGGCUGUUCUGAAGCUGUGCUGUUCGCUGUCCGGUGUCUGCCCCCUUGCGGCAUCCUCCAUUUCUAACUCGCUGCUUCUUCGAGCAGGAAAGUUGCAGUGCACUGAAAAGCUAUAACCGGUUGUGUGGUGUAUGGAGCAUCAGGUAGUACAGCUCUUCAGAAUCAGCUAUGCUGCCUAUGCAGGCUCUAGGCAUAACCCCGGCAAUUCUCUUUGAGGACAUGAACGUUACAAACAAUGGCGACUUUGUAGCAUUAUUAAAAAAAAAAUUGCUGCCAAAAGGGACUUUGGUAUCCACA